AUUGAACGCUUGCGGCCGGCCUAACACAUGCAAGUCGAGCGAGAGGCGGACGGGUGAGUAAUGUCUGGGAAACUGCCUGAUGGAGGGGGAUAACUACUGGAAACGGUAGCUAAUACCGCAUACCAUCAGAUGUGCCCAGGUGGGAUUAGCUAGUAGGUGGGGUAACGGCUCACCUAGGCGACGAUCCCUAGCUGGUCUGAGAGGAUGACCAGCCACAAUGGAACUGAGACACGGUCCAGACUCCUACGGGAGGCAGCAGUGGGGAAUAUUGCACAAUGGGCGCAAGCCUGAUGCAGCCAUGCCGCGUGUGUGAAGAAGGCCUUCGGGUUGUAAAGUACUUUCAGCGGGGAGGCGUUACCCGCAGAAGAAGCACCGGCUAACUCCGGGUCAGCCGCCGCGGUAAUUC
rnacentral:rRNA from 1 species